rnacentral:lncRNA from 1 species
CUGCAGAGGGCCUCUCAGUCAGCUUGGUGCCUGCAGUCUGCCGCCAAGAUCCCAAGUCCUGUGACCCAGGCAGAGGUUCUGGGAGGAGCCGACGGCCAUCUCUUUCACCAGGAGAACCAAGUAGCUCCCUUAACCUCAGCCUCAUGACCAUGUUUCAGCACUGUCUUAGACUUGGCUUUUCAGACUCAGUUCUGCUUCACACACUCAGUUCUGCGAUCACGCGAGGAAGGGAGCUUAUUAGUAAAUCCGUGUGGAGACCACAGCCCACACCAUCAGUGAGAAUCAGCGUGGGACCACUUAUUCCUGGGGACACCUGAACAUCAACAAGGCAGGUGACUGACCCCAAGGACUCUCAGCACAACACAGACAGCAAGAAAAAAAAAAAUCAAAAGGGGUAUUUAAAUACAGUAAUAUUUAUCAUUACAUCAUUUUAAGAGGAAACAACUCUUCUAGGCCAUGAAAAACUCAUAGAAGAUUUUAAUUCUAAUUGUGGUGUGUAAGAGGUGGAACCAAAUGAACCUUUAGGAGUUGACUAGGGCACUUGGGCAGCAAGGUGGCUCCGGCACUAACCACUGAGCUGACAACCCAGGGUUAAGCCCCAGAACCCAGGGUGGAAAGACCGAUCCAGUUCCCACAAGGUAUUCUCAGAUUUCCAUAUAUACACCAUGCACCCUCCCCUCCCCCCAAUCAAUAAAUAAACAUAAAAAUGAUGGACUUUGUAAUGUUAAACAAAAGAGAUGACUGGGCUGAGGGAUCCAUUCUGGACCAGUGGACACAGGCAAUUUCGUGAGUCAAAAAGUCUGUGUCUUACACUGAGACCCCUUGGCUCUGGGUGCCCCGCCCGGAGCCGAACAAAAAGGCCAUCGUCAGCCAUAAGAACCAGGAACAAACCUCUCCUCAUUGAUUGCUCUGACUGGUGUAUCCAUUUAUAGCAACAGGAAACAGCCUAACGCAGCGCAAGGUACACAGGACUCGAGCCACACACCUUUAAUCCCAUUCUCAGGAGGCAGAGGCAGAGAGAGGCAGAGGCAGACGGAUCUCCGUGGGUUCCAGGUCAACCUGCUCUAGAUAACAAGAUGUUGAAACUGCAGAGUGCUAACUGUGUAAAUCAGCAACUCUUCUCACUUGCUCGGGUGUCCGCUUUCCUCUAAGCCUUUGGGAACAGGCAGAAAUAGGUGUUUAAUAAAGUUCAUUUUGCAAGGAAUCACCUAAAAAUGUUAACAUCAAUUAUCUAGGCGAUGGCUUUAAUGACCGGGUUUUUUGUUUUGUUUUGUUUUGUUUUUUGGUUUUUUAAUCUUUAUUUGGGUGGUUUUCUAAGUUUUCCUUAAUAAGCAUAAAUUGCUUUCUGUACGAUUUUUAAAUGUUUAUUUAUAUUUUAUGUGUGUGUAUGUAAGUGCACCAUGCGCAUGGCGUGCCAU